GCGCGCUUGGCGGAACUGGCAGACGCCCCGGCUUUAGGUGCCGGUGCCCUCGGGCGUGGGGGUUCGAGUCCCCCAGCGCGCA
rnacentral:tRNA from 1 species